rnacentral:rRNA from 1 species
AGGACGAACGCUGGCGGCGUGCUUAACACAUGCAAGUCGAGCGGAAAGGCCCUUCGGGGUACUCGAGCGGCGAACGGGUGAGUAACACGUGAGUAAUCUGCCCCUAGCUCUGGGAUAGCUCCGGGAAACCGGGAUUAAUACCAGAUACGACCACUUUAGACAUCUGUUGUGGUGGAAAGAAUUUCGGCUAGGGAUGAGCUCGCGGCCUAUCAGCUUGUUGGUGAGGUAACGGCUCACCAAGGCGACGACGGGU